CAUAUCAAUUUAUUUAUUUUUGUUGACUUAUUUUGUAAAUAUAUUAUAAAUAAUACGCCAACAUGCGGAAAAGAUUUCCUGUGCUCUUUUGAACUUUCCAUCCAACAAAAAAUAUUUGGACUUAUGGAGAAAGUACAAAAUCCAGAAACAUAUCUCUCAAGAUAUCGCUUCUGUUUAUAUAAAAAAUUUCAUAUAAAAAUAAAAUAAACAUGAAAAGCAUUUUCAAUAUGAUAUCAUAGAAAUCGAUAUAAAUUAUAUCCUGCAAAUGGGAAAUAUAUUAUGUAGGAGCAGUCUACAGAAUGUGAAAAUUGAUAUUGACGCAUAGAUAAAUGAUUAAACUAUCUAUCCCAAAUGUGUUAUAGUCAUGUGCCUAUUUAAAGUUCUGACCACGUUACUGAUAUAUAUGCCCUGAAUACCUUUGGGCAACAAAAUAAUUGCAGCUUAUGACGAUAAGUGAAUAACUUCACUUCAUCUUAACAGAUGGAAAGAGAUGAGCACCUGUAGACACACUAAACUCAUGAUGCCGAACCCUUAACCAGGGCAGCGAUGAAAGUGCUUAGCUAUUCGCGGAGCACGCUAAGCUGGCUUACCUCAUUAAUUACUGGGUAUGGAAAGUAUAAAGUAUUAUCUUAAAAAAGAUAACUCUUGUUGAGGAAGACACUUGCAGACUAUGCCUAGAAGUAAAGGAGUGAGUGGUGCAUAUAUUGUGCCAAUGUCCAGCACUGACAAGCAUGAGGAUGACUGUUUUGAUACACUAUUCGGUUGGUGAUGAUUUGGCAGGCAACCUCAACCCAAAUGAGCUGUUUGCAAUAACAAGAGAUGUAGUAAUGCGAAUGGAAGCGUCUCUAGCUUUAACUCAAUAACGACAUUCGAGGAAAAGUACGAAAAAGAACCCAAGUCGUUUCGUGGUUUACUUCGGUUAAUUCUUCACUUUAAUAGGGCCAGAUGCUGCCCCAACGUCCCACAAUAUGUAUAAGUAUAAGUACAGAUAUAUGUGUAUAUAUAAGAAAAAAAUUAUAACAAAAAAUACAACGCAAUAAGAUAACAUUGUUAAGUAAAAGUUAAAAUGAAACCUUUCAAUUUCAAUUAUAAAACUAAAUGAUGAUAUGAGAAUAUUUCACCACCCACCAAUGCCUUUCUAUUUUUAACAAUAAUUACAAAUCCAUUUAAUUUCACUUAUCAAUUACUUUAUUUAUUAU